UGCACACAUAAGUUCAUGCACCGACUUCACACUCAACUGCUUGACGCAUUAAACUAUGGGGCCAAGUGAUAAUAAUAUCAAUGCAAACUCGUGUAUCUAUAUUCUUGUCGAGACGUACGAAAUUGACAAGUGAGAAUUAUGUAUAACAUCCUCUCAACAGAUUGUCUUCGUCAAAUGAUAGGCUAACACGUGGCAUCUCUUCUUCAUUAGCGAGACUUCAUCAAUCUUCACUAGAGGUAACUUGCUUCAGUGGUAAGUUCCCUUGAUCUUCAUCCAGAUGAGGCAAAAUUCCAUUAAUUCUUCAUUGGUUAUAAGUUCCAAUAAAAGGUAUGUAACUUGGACCAUGAACGACAAGUGCCACCAGGCGCAACCUGUAACCGCUCCAAGGGUUCCUUGAAAUUAACAG
rnacentral:lncRNA from 1 species